rnacentral:tmRNA from 1 species
GGGGAUGACUGGUUUCGACGGGAAAGUAAGGCUCUGGAUGGCAAGCCGAGCAUCGUUUUUCAUCUCGUAAAACUGCGGAACGAACCAAUAAGUGCCAAUCGCACAACUGCAUACAGCGCUAUGCCCCUCGCCGCCUAAUAACGGCUAAAGCGGAAACGCUGUUCGAGGCCCCAGAGGUCUCGCGCACCCCCUAGAUUCUCAUUGGUGGUCUAUUGUGGUGUGUCACUCUAGUCAAUGUGCCGCACGAAAAUACCGAUAGUAGUGCCUAAGACCUCCUCGGUUCGCCCUAAUCUGACCCCGUUGACUGGGGCGCAUGUGGGCUAAAUCUCAAAUGAGUCAACUAAGCUUGUAGAUGUCUGGCAGGUGAGCUUUUUCGGACGCGGGUUCGACUCCCGCCAUCUCCACUC